CCGAGGGAACCACCUACCGACCCAGCGGCAGGGGUGGGGGUGGAGGGGCUCCUGAGAGAGUGUGGAUUUAGAGGAGUCUUCGGGAAGCUGGGGCAGCUCAAGGAUUGCGUACGCGAAAAGCUCUACACAGGACAACUCAGAAGAGACAUUUGGUGCCAUCGUAAUUCACUGUGGAAAUACUGCUGCCGCCGACGCAGCCGUGCCCUGCCCGCAGACGCCUUGCUUGUACCUGAUGAGACACAUCUUGUCCAAAGAGCACUGAAUCUGCUGGAUGCUGUGGGCAGGAGACAGGGACCAGGUGAUGGAAGAGUCAAAGGGCACAGUGUUUAAUAAGAGAUGAGAUAGAGAAGAAGCCAAGCAGGGCAGGCGACAGGAGUGUGGCCUUUGCUCCACAAGAGGGCUUGAGAAUAGGCUCCCAGAAGAAGCCUUGGCCUCCGAAACAGGGGAGUCUGGCAAAGGCAGCUGCGCGUGGGAACGGAGCAGGAGUUUCUCUUCCGUCCCCUGGCAAGGGCAGAGGUCACGCUUUCUGAAGACACCCAACACCCCGGUACAUAGAAGGAACAACAUGAGUCGACAACUCUUGGUUAGAACAAGAGUUCCCAUCAUGGCUCAGCAGAAACGAACCGACUAGUAUCCAUGAGAAUCUCCUUCUCGUGGCUCCGUCUCAGCUAUUUCUGGAGCUGGAUUCUGGGCAGAGCCCCAGCUUGUGCCCAGGCCUCUGUGGAUCCUGGGCCCCUGUUUGUCUGGUACCCGAGGUAGACAAGACCCCACAUCCAGUCUCUAUCUAAAAGGCCCAGGCAGAUACUGACUCAGAGAUUUUGAAAAACUUAAUGGUUUCAAAGGAGACAGGAUGGGGGGUAGGGGCAUGGGCUGGGGGUUUGGGAUGGAAAUGCUAUAAAAUUGGGUUGUGAUGAUCGUUGUACACCUAUCAGUGUAAUAAAAUCCACUGAGUAAUUACCAAAAUAAAUAAAAAUAAAAAUAAAAAAUG